CCUACGGGUGGCAGCAGUGGGGAAUAUUGCACAAUGGGGGAAACCCUGAUGCAGCAACGCCGCGUGAGUGAAGAAGUAUUUCGGUAUGUAAACUCCUUUUGUUAGAGGAGAUAAUGACGGUAUCUAACGAAUAAGCACCGGCUAACUCCGUGCCAGCAGCCGCGGUAAUACGGAGGGUGCAAGCGUUACUCGGAAUCACUGGGCGUAAAGAGCGCGUAGGCGGGAUAGCAAGUCAGAUGUGAAAUCCUAUGGCUUAACCAUAGAACUGCAUUUGAAACUGUUAUUCUAGAGUAUGGGAGAGGUAGGUGGAAUUCUUGGUGUAGGGGUAAAAUCCGUAGAGAUCAAGAGGAAUACUCAUUGCGAAGGCGACCUGCUAGAACAUAACUGACGCUGAUGCGCGAAAGCGUGGGGAGCAAACAGGAUUAGAUACCCCGGUAGUC
rnacentral:rRNA from 1 species